GGACAUCCAGAUAUAAACCAUAACUGCAGGGUAUUUCAGGGAGAAGAAACAAGAGCCCACAAGAACCAACAAAACCCUUCCUUGAGCAAGGGCUGGAGAAAUGGAAAGCAAUUGCCUAGACUCACUACAGCAUAGGACCUGUGCUGUGAAGGCAGGGCAGGAAGAUAUUCCUGGAGCACUAUGUGUCAGGCCUGGUGCCAAAACAUGAAAAAGGCCUGCCUUCCCGAUCCAUCACACCCUGCACUGGGCAGCAACGUCAGUGUUGCACACAUGGAGAAGACACCCUCAGAGAAGAUGCCCGGUGGCCUUGGCUACAUCUCCCAAAUACUGUCUCCCAACACAACACAGGCAGUGCUGCCGGAGACCCACAGGGAAGUCAAGCUGCACCCACCCUUGGCCAGCAGCCAGGGCUACUAGGAUUGCUGCCAGCUGGAGACAAAUCCCUCCCAAUGAAUCCAUGCUCCUCUCGGCAAAAGCACCCAGCUGCCUCGUCCUGCCCACACUGGGGAGAGAUUCUCAGCUGUGCUCUCAGCAGAAGAAAGCAGAGUGAGGCACAGUGUGAGAAGACUGAUCCUGUCCAUGCUGUCAGGUCACCAUAGCGCUGGCUGCUUUCAAGAGCCAGUGCUGUUUUGUGAGCAAGGCUGCACUCAUGGUGGCCCACUGGCCUUCUCCUCCACCAGGUGCCUGUGCCCACCCAGUGCCAAGGUCCCUGGCACAUCAGGGCUCCUGCCAACUGUGUCCAGAGCGCAUAGGUUGGGUGGUAGAUGGCAGCCUGUGGGUGCACUGGAGGCCAGUGCCUGAACGCCGGCGGGCAUCUGAGCCACUCUGGGAGCUGCAGGAGAAGAGCUGCAAGUGGUGGACUGUCAGAUCAAAGGGAGCGGCGUGAGUGACCGGCCACAGGAGACUACACUCAUUUCCCAUUGACAGAGUGCCCGCGCGCGGGGAAGGAGUCCUGGGCUUUGAAGGGCUUUGAAGGAUCGUUAUGCUAUUUUGAACAUGAAGUUACAAUUUCAGAGGCAA